GGGAAAGUGGCUCAGUGGUAAAGCGCUUGCCUUGCAUGCAUGAGGCCUUGGGUUCGAUUCCUCAGUACCA
rnacentral:tRNA from 1 species